AUCGCUUCUGGGCCUUUUGGUUUAAGAUCAAAGUGUAUAUUUUUCUUAUAAGUUAAAUAUUUUUGUACAAAUCCCCGGGUGGGAUCUACGAUUUUUAAAUUGAUUUUGGGAAAAAAGGCGAAAGUGUUUAGGGGCUUGCUCCCCUUGCCGGGGAUGGGCCCCGGUUUAUUGCAGUACCCCCGGGGGAUUGGUCCACUCCCC